GUACUUAUCUGAACUCUCGCUACCUGUGUUGUUCCCCUGGAUACCCAUUGUUCCUUCCUCAUCAGUUCCUCUGUUCCGUCUUCCGAUUCAGUCAUCUACAUACCUCACGACCAGAGCUAAGUUACCACCUUCUUCAUGUCACCUGUGUCUGUAACCUCUGUUACAAUAAAUACUGCUAAUACGUUCACCUACCUCUGUGUUCCCGUUUGUGUCUGACAGAAGAUCAGACCUUAUCCAGAGCUCUCCGGACACAGGCGGGGACUGCAACGCGGAUCCAUUUGCUGCACUGGUUCACGCUGUACGGUCCUCACUACCACAACCCACGACGAGCCUAACCCAUGUUCCUCCUGAGAUCAUCACGGCCGUACAGCAAGCACUCCAGCAGCCACCUGCAACAACGACUACUUCGUCAGCUGCCUCUGCCAGUCCCGUGGCCCGACCAGCGACAUACUGCGGCGCGGCGGAGGAUUGCAGCGGGUUUUUGCUUCAGUGCUCGCUCUACAUCGAGGCCAACACUCACCUGUUCCAGAAUGAACGCGGUCGCGUUGCAUUCGUCAUCUCGCAUCUCUCUGGACGAGCGCUACAAUGGGCUCAACCCCUCUGGGAAACAAAUGCUCCGCUAUAUCAUAUUCAUCAAGGAGAGGAGUCCAUCAGCAUGUAUGCUCUCCGAUUUCACACUCUGGCUUCAAUGAGUGGUUGGAACAAAACUGCUUUGAUAACUGCUUUUCGUCAUGGUCUGCGAAGGGAGGUUCAGCAAUUAAUAGUCGUUUACAACGACACCAUGGGACUUGAGAAUCUUAUUCAGAAGACUAUCAGAGUGUCACAACGUUUGUACGCCUCCCACAUGAAUGCUCCCGCAGUCAAUCCUCUGCCUGCUUUAACAUCUGUCGCCGCCCCAGCACCUGAACCAAUGCAGGUUGAUUCGAACAAUCUUACCAACGUGUAGCGUCUCGACGGAUGAAUAAUCGCCUGUGUCUUUAUUGUGGGGGAGACGGACACGUGAUUUCCAACUGCCCGGUCCGAACUCCACACCCAGGGCGCAAGCCCUCAUCGACUCUGGGUCGGCUGGCAACUUCAUUAGCACCCAAAUCCUCCAA
ensembl:lncRNA